UACGUAGGCAGCGAGCGUUGUUCGGAGUUACUGGGCGUAAAGAGUGCGUAGGCGGUGCUCCGAGUCUGGUGUGAAAUCUCCCGGCUUAACCGGGAGGGUGCGCCGGAAACUGGGGUGCUGGAGUGUGGGAGAGGUAAGCGGAAUUCCAGGUGUAGCGGUGAAAUGCGUAGAGAUGUGGAGGAACACCGAUGGCGAAGGCAGCCCCCUGGGUCAAGAUUGACGCUCAUGCACGAAAGCGUGGGGAGCAAACAGG
rnacentral:rRNA from 1 species